UGGGGAAUUUUGGACAAUGGGCGAAAGCCUGAUCCAGCAAUGCCGCGUGUGUGAAGAAGGCCUUCGGGUUGUAAAGCACUUUUGUCCGGAAAGAAAUCCUUGGCUCUAAUACAGUCGGGGGAUGACGGUACCGGAAGAAUAAGCACCGGCUAACUACGUGCCAGCAGCCGCGGUAAUACGUAGGGUGCAAGCGUUAAUCGGAAUUACUGGGCGUAAAGCGUGCGCAGGCGGUUUGCUAAGACCGAUGUGAAAUCCCCGGGCUCAACCUGGGAACUGCAUUGGUGACUGGCAGGCUAGAGUAUGGCAGAGGGGGGUAGAAUUCCACGUGUAGCAGUGAAAUGCGUAGAGAUGUGGAGGAAUACCGAUGGCGAAGGCAGCCCCCUGGGCAAUACUGACGCUCAUGCACGAAAGCGUGGGGAGCAAACAGGAUUAGAUACCCUGGUAGUCCACGCCCUAAACGAUGUCAACUAGUUGUUGGGGAUUCAUUCCUUAGUAACGUAGCUAACGCGUGAAGUUGACCGCCU
rnacentral:rRNA from 1 species